rnacentral:rRNA from 1 species
UACGGGGGGAGCAAGCGUUGUUCGGAAUCACUGGGCGUAAAGGGAGUCUAGGCGGUUUGGUAAGUGGGAUGUGAAAUGCCCGGGCUCACCCCGGGACCUGCAUCCCAAACUGCUGAGCUUGAGUACAGGAGAGGGUGGGGGAAUUCCAGGUGUAGCGGUGAAAUGCGUAGAUAUCAAGAGGAAUACCUGAGGUGAAGACGGGUUGCUAGGCUGACACUGACGCUGAGGCGCGAAAGCCAGGGGAGCAAACGGG